rnacentral:rRNA from 1 species
GACGAACGCUGGCGGCGUGCUUAACACAUGCCAGUCGAACGGAAAGGCCCGGCUUUUGUGGGGUGCUCGAGUGGCGAACGGGUGAGUAACACGUGAGUAACCUGCCCUUGACUUUGGGAUAACUUCAGGAAACUGGGGCUAAUACCGGAUAGGAGCUCCUGCUGCAUGGUGGGGGUUGGAAAGUUUCGGCGGUUGGGGAUGGACUCGCGGCUUAUGAGCUUGUUGGUGGGGUAGUGGCUUACCAAGGCUUUGACGGGUAGCCGGCCUGAGAGGGUGACCGGGCACAUUGGUACUGAGGUACGGCCCAGACUCCUACCGGAGGCAGCAGUGGGGAAUAUUGCACAAUGGGCCGGAGUCUUAUGCGGCAACGCCGCGUUCGGGAUGACCUCCUUUCGGUUGUAAACCGCUUUCGCCUGUGACGAAGCGUGAGUGACGGUAAUGGGUAAAGAAGCACCGGCUAACUACGUG